GAUGAACGCUAGCGGCAGGCUUAAUACAUGCAAGUCGUGGGGCAGCAUGAUGUAGCAAUACAUUGAUGGCGACCGGCAAACGGGUGCGGAACACGUACACAACCUGCCUUUUAGUGGGGAAUAGCCCAGAGAAAUUUGGAUUAAUACCCCAUAACAUAUAGAGAGGGCAUCAUCUUAAUAUUAAAGCUUCGGCGCUAGAAGAUGGGUGUGCGGCUGAUUAGGUAGUUGGCGAGGUAACGGCCCACAAAGCCUACGAUCAGUAGCUGAUGUGAGAGCAUGAUCAGCCACACGGGCACUGAGACACGAGACCGACUCCUACGGGAGGCAGCAGUAAGGAAUAUUGGACAAUGGACGAAAGUCUGAUCCAGCCAUGCCGCGUGAAGGAUUAAGGUCCUCUGGAUUGUAAACUUCUUUUAUUUGGGACGAAAAAAGAUCAUUCUUGAUCACUUGACGGUACCAGAUGAAUAAGCACCGGCUAACUCCGUGCCAGCCGCCGCAGUAAGAC
rnacentral:rRNA from 1 species